CACCAGACUCCUACGGGAGGCAGCAGUGAGGAAUAUUGGUCAAUGGGCGGAAGCCUGAACCAGCCAAGUCGCGUGAGGGAUUAAGGCCCUAUGGGUCGUAAACCUCUUUUGUCAGGGAGCAAGGUCGUCCACGUGUGGGCGUAUGGAGAGUACCUGAAGAAAAAGCAUCGGCUAACUCCGUGCCAGCAGCCGCGGUAAUACGGAGGAUGCGAGCGUUAUCCGGAUUUAUUGGGUUUAAAGGGUGCGUAGGCGGGAUGCCAAGUCAGCGGUAAAAAUGCGGUGCUCAACGCCGUCGAGCCGUUGAAACUGGCGUUCUUGAGUGGGCGAGAAGUAUGCGGAAUGCGUGGUGUAGCGGUGAAA
rnacentral:rRNA from 1 species